GAUGAACGCUGGCGGCGUGCUUAACACAUCCAAGUCGAACAGUCAGGGCAGAGGUUGCUCUGCUGGAUCAUUGGCGCACGGGUGAGUAACACGUGAGGAAACUGCACCUGACUCUGGGGUAAGAGCUGGAAACGCCGUAUCAUACUGGAUACGAGCUGCGAAGGCGUAUUCAGCAGCAGUAAAGAAGUUCGGUCAGGGCUGAGCUCGCGGCAUAUCAGCUUGGUGGGCAGGUAGUGGCUGACACAGGCUUCGACGGGUAGGCGGCCUGAGAGGGUGACCAGCCACACUGGGACUGCGACACGGACCAGAAUCCUACGUGAGGCAGCAGUGGGGAAUAUUGCGCAGUAGGCCAAAGCGAGAGGCAGAGACGCUGCGUGAGGAACGACGUCUUUCGGGUUGAAAACCUCUGUGAGCAGAGAAAAAGCGAAAGUGACGGUACCUGCAGAAAAAGCGACGGCUAACUACGUG
rnacentral:rRNA from 1 species